GAUGAACGCUGACAGCAUGCUUAACACAUGCAAGUCUUUGGCGAAUCUGUGCUUGCACCGGCUAGCCAAGGCGGACGGGUGAGUAACGCGUAAAGAACUUGCCCUGCAGACAGGGAUAACAGACGGAAACGACUGAUAACACCUGAUACAGUUGCCGGCACGCAUGUGCCUGGCAAUGAAAAGAGAUGCUGCAGGAGAGCUUUGCGUCCUAUUAGCUUGUUGGUGAGGUGACGGCUCACCAAGGCGAUGAUAGGUAGCCGGCCUGAGAGGGUGAACGGCCACAAGGGGACUGAGAUACGGCCCUUACUCCUACGGGAGGCGGCAGUGGGGAAUAGUGGACAAUGGGGGCAACCCUGAUCCAGCAAUUCUGUGUGAACGAAGAAGGUUUUCGGAUUGUAAAGUGCUUUCAGCAGGGAAGAAGAAAGUGACGGUACCUGCAGAAGAAGCGACGGCUAAAUACGUG
rnacentral:rRNA from 1 species